rnacentral:rRNA from 1 species
UACGUAGGUGGCAAGCGUUGUCCGGAUUUACUGGGCGUAAAGGAUGCGUAGGUGGAUAUUUAAGUGGGAUGUGAAAUACCCGGGCUUAACCUGGGUGCUGCAUUCCAAACUGGAUAUCUAGAGUGCAGGAGAGGUAAGUGGAAUUCCUAGUGUAGCGGUGAAAUGCGUAGAGAUUAGGAAGAACACCAGUGGCGAAGGCGACUUACUGGACUGUAACUGACACUGAGGCAUGAAAGCGUGGGGAGCAAACAGG